rnacentral:tRNA from 3 species
GGUCCCUUAGCUCAGUUGGUUAGAGCACCUGACUCAUAAUCAGGGAGUCGCCGGUUCAAGCCCGUCAGGGACCA